UCUGCAUUGGCAGGUGUGCAAAUGUGGAGACUGUAACAGCAGUGAGUGAGGAUGGAUGAGCUGUUUUCUGGGGUCACAUCCAACUCCAGAGAAGAAACACUGCCUGAAAGACCAUAGUCCUGUCUAGUGAUGAAAGCGCUGUGUUUGGGGAGAAUCCUUGAGAGCUGGCUGUUGUGUAAAUGGAACUCUCCUGGCACUCGUCUCAACCCUCUCCUGUCAACAGAGUUGAUGGUUUUGUUUGCGACAGCUCCCAGCCCUUGCGUGUCCUGUGAGAUGGCCAGGUGACAGCAGUGACUCCAUGUGAGAUUCCCUGUGGGAGCUGGCGUGGUUUCCUCAUGUCCCUCGGAGAUGCCACCCCAGCAGGGAGGAAGAACAGUUGGAAUUGCAGUUGCAGCAAGUGCACUGCAUCAGAGAGGGAGAAUUUGUCAUGGAAAAGUUGUUUGAUUUUUUUUGGCGGUUUUGGUUUGGGUUUUUCCUCUCUGAGAUGGAGAGCCCAUUAAAGGAAGAGACAUGUACAAACUACUCCUUGGAUUUCCCGGCAGGCAGAAUGGAAAGCAGAGCCCACUGGAAGCUCCGCAUUUUCUUUUGCGUUUUCUUGUGGGCACAUGGCUCCAUCAUACAUUUUAGAUAAUAGAUGGUUUGCGUGCAAGGAGUUGUUGGGGUUUUUAAUUAAUCAGUAGAUCCCAGUUUGGCAGAGUCCAUCAUCACUGGGGAAACAGAGGCAUUGGGCUGCCAAAGGACGGACUUGCAGCCACCGGAGUCGGGGAUAAGGUUCGGGGCCACCACAGAUCGAGUCCACGUGCGUCAGAGAUCUGAUUAAAUCAGGAGAUUUGCAUGUUUGUUAAGCUACUACAGCUCGGUGACUUUGACCAGUAGUGAGGCGGACUUGUU